rnacentral:tRNA from 1 species
AUUUUCUUAGUAUAACUAAUACAAGUGACUUCCAAUCAUUAAAUUUUGGCUAAUCCCCAAGAGAAAAUA